GUACAGGAUGUGUGCGGUACAUUAUCUGCCGUCUAGGCUUAGCAAGUUAAUCUAUGAGCUCCUGUGCGGGAAACCUAGCGACCGCAUCUUCCAGCUCCCCUCGGCCCUCGCCGCGCUCCGCUCGGUUCUUAGUGCCAGGUGAGACUGCAUGUGGCGGCUCUCCAUCACCGCGCUGGAGAGGCAAGACUGCUUGUUGUGGUCAGUGGCGCGCAGAUGGCCGCCGUCUUCUUCGGAGAUCCUGAGCGGCUGAGCCGAGCUUGCAAGCUCUGCUGGCGCAAGUGAUGGUCGGCGGGGGUGAAGUGGAAGCUGUCGUUGGCUGUUCCUCACUGGCAGAGCGCGCGGCAAUUCAGUGGCAGGGGAUUGCAGCCAGAGGGAUCUGUGGCCGAGGUUGAUGAUGUUGGUGAGCGUGCUGUCGCCUCUUGAUGGAGAGGAGGUACCGUUCCUUUCCUCAUCAGACCCUCUCUGCUUUUGUAUAACUGCACGCUCUGCUGAUUUCCCGUAAUUCAGUCUGUACUUUGGAUCCAUGAAAUUUAGUCUGCACUUUGUUCUAUUUUGGGGGAAAUAUAUUACGCAAUUCAGAGUAGAAACACUAGUUUAACUUGUUGCCACAAAAACUGUUAAAUACCUGAACUCUGCUAUAAAUCUUGGCACCAUUUUUAUGUUAAAUACAUCUGGUUAGAGUACCUGAGCUACUUUGUUUGUGGGGACUAUCGGUAGUUUUUUCCUAGUUUCAGUAGUUGUUUUUUUAAGAUAUAUAUCUAAUUGGUUUUGGCAGAAUGCGACGUGAAAAAAUGGCUGCCACUAUUUUGCUCUCUCAUCUGCAACAGAAAAAAGUUUAAUACAUGGCAUCUGUCCCCCGCGAUGACUUGACUAUUUCAUUCGCAGACAUCGGGUAGGGAGGGCACCGCCCGAAAGAACAUUAAACUCUGCCCGCGUCACAACGCUCGAGCUAACCUUGCAUGACUUCCCAACCAGGAGGAAUCAUGAGGACAUUGUCCCAGAAGUGGGUGUUACGUUUGAUUUGAUUAGAGAUGCUUAGGACUUCUACAAUCUGUAUUCAUGGGAACGGGGGUUCAGGGUAAGAUAUGGUAAAAGCAGGCUCAAUGUCGACCGAGUGAAGUGCAUGCAAGAAAUAUUCUACGGGUGUUUGGGGAAGCCCUGGGCCACAACCUCGCAUUUCACCAGGUGCCUUUGCCCAGCCCUCAUCAGGUUGUUGCGUUCGAAAGGAUAAUGGAUGGUACAUAUGCGAGCAUAGGGAUGUCUGCCUCGUUUGGUGAGCGGGUGCAUUGACCGUCGCACAAAAGACUUGGUUAAACAGUUGAGGGAAAAUAAUGUCAAUCUUGGGAAGGUGUACAGUAUUGUAGGAAGUUUCUUCAGGAAAAUGGGGAAUGUACCAUUCACAAAAAGGGCAUUGAAAACUCUUUGUGGCAAGAUCAGUAGCGAGCAAGCA